rnacentral:rRNA from 1 species
UUAAGGAUCAACAAAGCAUUGGUAGCUGAACGCCUUGUGAGGGUAAUUGGCCACAUUGGGUCUGAGACCCGGCCCAGACUCCUAUUGGAGGCAGCCGUAGGGAAUUUUUCUCAAUGGACGCAAUUUUGAUGGAGCAACGCCGCUUGAGUGAAGAAGGGUUUUGGCUUGUAAAGCUUGGUUGGUAAAGAAGAACGCGGGUAAGAGUAACUGUUUACCCAGUGACGGUAUUUAACCAGAAAGCCACGGCUAAAUACGUGCCAGCAGCCGCGGUAAUACGUAGGUGGCAAGCGUUAUCCGGAUUUAUUGGGCGUAAAGCGAGCGCAGGCGGUCUUUUAAGUCUAAUGUGAAAGCCUUCGGCUCAACCGAAGAAGUGCAUGGAAACUGGGAGAC